GGCGUUUUCCCAGCUCAGGCGCUAUGUAGGAUGACGUGGAGGAGCGGUCUGUAAAACCGUCGGCUCAGCCUACGAUGGUUCGAACCCAUCACCUGCCA
rnacentral:tRNA from 1 species